rnacentral:rRNA from 1 species
CCUUUAUUCUGGCUCAGGAUGAACGCUAGCUACAGGCUUAACACCUGCAAGUCGAGGGGCAGCAUGGUCUUAGCUUGCUAAGGGCGAUGGCGACCGGCGCACGGGUGAGUAACACGUAUCCAACCUGCCGUCUACUCUUGGACAGCCUUCUGAAAGGAAGAUUAAUACAAGAUGGCAUCAUGAGUCCGCAUGUUCACAUGAUUAAAGGUAUUCCGGUAGACGAUGGGGAUGCGUUCCAUUAGAUAGUAGGCGGGGUAACGGCCCACCUAGUCUUCGAUGGAUAGGGGUUCUGAGAGGAAGGUCCCCCACAUUGGAACUGAGACACGGUCCAAACUCCUACGGGAGGCAGCAGUGAGGAAUAUUGGUCAAUGGGCGAGAGCCUGAACCAGCCAAGUAGCGUGAAGGAUGACUGCCCUAUGGGUUGUAAACUUCUUUUAUAAAGGAAUAAAGUCGGGUAUGCAUACCCGUUUGCAUGUACUUUAUGAAUAAGGAUCGGCUAACUCCGUGCCAGCAGCCGCGGUAAUACGGAGGAUCCGAGCGUUAUCCGGAUUUAUUGGGUUUAAAGGGAGCGUAGAUGGAUGUUUAAGUCAGUUGUGAAAGUUUGCGGCUCAACCGUAAAAUUGCAGUUGAUACUGGAUAUCUUGAGUGCAGUUGAGGCAGGCGGAAUUCGUGGUGUAGCGGUGAAAUGCUUAGAUAUCACGAAGAACUCCGAUUGCGAAGGCAGCCUGCUAAGCUGCAACUGACAUUGAGGCUCGAAAGUGUGGGUAUCAAACAGGAUUAGAUACCCUGGUAGUCCACACGGUAAACGAUGAAUACUCGCUGUUUGCGAUAUACGGCAAGCGGCCAAGCGAAAGCGUUAAGUAUUCCACCUGGGGAGUACGCCGGCAACG